AGGCCAAGCGGCUCGUAGUUCACCACUUCUGGAGCUGUAAACCACAAAACAACAUCACUAACAAUACAGAAGAGUUUGGGACUGCUGUAUCAUCACUGCCUGCAGACACACUGGCUGCCAUUCAGUGGUGUCCCCCUCCUUCGAUCUACCUAUAUUUGGGAUCCCUUGACUUGCAGGAAUGUUCUGGCCCAUGAUGUUACAACAAACAUCAUCUCCUGCAGAUCGCCCUGAGAAGUAAUUUAUGACACUGCAAACUGAAUCGCAACCGGUGAACUGUUUCAAGAGACGCAUG